rnacentral:rRNA from 1 species
AAUGACAAUAAUAAUAAUAAUAAGCACCCGUUCUCGUCCGAUCACCGAAGUUAAGCAACGUCGAGGCUAGUGAGUACUUAGAUGGGUGACUGCUUGGGAAACCUAUCAUGUACAUUGUUUUGU